AGAGUUUGAUCCUGGCUCAGAUUGAACGCUGGCGGAAUGCUUUACACAUGCAAGUCGAACGGCAGCACGGACUUCGGUCUGGUGGCGAGUGGCGAACGGGUGAGUAACAUAUCGGAACGUAUCCAAUAAUGGGGGAUAACUAAUCGAAAGGUUGGCUAAUACCGCAUACGCCCUACGGGGGAAAGCUAGGGACCUUCGGGCCUGGCGUUAAUGGAGCGGCCGAUAUCUGAUUAGCUAGUUGGUGAGGUAAAGGCUCACCAAGGCGACGAUCAGUAGCUGGUCUGAGAGGACGACCAGCCACACUGGAACUGAGACACGGUCCAGACUCCUACGGGAGGCAGCAGUGGGGAAUUUUGGACAAUGGGCGCAAGCCUGAUCCAGCCAUUCCGCGUGAGUGAAGAAGGCCUUCGGGUUGUAAAGCUCUUUCGCAAGGGAAGAAAACUUAGUUACUAAUAUUAACUGAGGUUGACGGUACCUUGAUAAGAAGCACCGGCUAACUACGUGCCAGCAGCCGCGGUAAUACGUAGGGUGCGAGCGUUAAUCGGAAUUACUGGGCGUAAAGCGUGCGCAGGCUGUUUUGUAAGUCAGAUGUGAAAUCCCCGAGCUCAACUUGGGAACUGCGUUUGAAACUACAAGACUAGAAUAUGUCAGAGGGGGGUAGAAUUCCACGUGUAGCAGUGAAAUGCGUAGAGAUGUGGAGGAAUAUCAAUGGCGAAGGCAGCCCCCUGGGAUAAUAUUGACGCUCAUGCACGAAAGCGUGGGGAGCAAACAGGAUUAGAUACCCUGGUAGUCCACGCCCU
rnacentral:rRNA from 1 species